rnacentral:rRNA from 1 species
UGGCGGACGGUGAGUACGCGUGGGGAACCUGCCCUGUACAGGGGGAUAACACUUAGAAAUAGGUGCUAAUACCGCAUAAGCGCACAGUAUCGCAUGAUACAGUGUGAAAAACUCCGGUGGUACAGGAUGGACCCGCGUCUGAUUAGCUGGUUGGCGGGGUAACGGCCCACCAAGGCGACGAUCAGUAGCCGGCCUGAGAGGGUGAACGGCCACAUUGGGACUGAGACACGGCCCAAACUCCUACGGAAGGCAGCAG